rnacentral:rRNA from 1 species
AGAGUUUGAUCCUGGCUCAGAUUGAACGCUGGCGGCAUGCCUUACACAUGCAAGUCGAACGGCAGCACGGGGGCAACCCUGGUGGCGAGUGGCGAACGGGUGAGUAAUAUAUCGGAACGUGCCCUGGAGUGGGGGAUAACUAGUCGAAAGAUUAGCUAAUACCGCAUACGAUCUACGGAUGAAAGUGGGGGACCCGCAAGGGCCUCAUGCUCCUGGAGCGGCCGAUAUCUGAUUAGCUAGUUGGUGAGGUAAAGGCUCACCAAGGCAUCGAUCAGUAGCUGGUCUGAGAGGACGACCAGCCACACUGGGACUGAGACACGGCCCAGACUCCUACGGGAGGCAGCAGUGGGGAAUUUUGGACAAUGGGCGCAAGCCCUGAUCCAGCAAUGCCGCGUGAGUGAAGAAGGCCUUUCGGGUUGUAAAGCUCUUUUUGUCAGGGAAGAAACGGUGAGGGCGGAAUACCCCUUGCUAAUGACGGUUACCUGAAGAAUAAGCACCGGCUAACUACGUGCCAGCAGCCCGCGGUAAUACUUUAGGGGGGCUAGGCGUCUAAUCGGAAUUUAC